rnacentral:rRNA from 1 species
GAUGAACGCUGGCGGCGUGCUUAAUACAUGCAAGUCGAGCGAACAGACGGUGCGCUCGCCCUUCUGUCGUGGGCGACGGACGGGUGAUUAGCACGUGGAUAACCUUUCUCUCAGACUUGGAUAACUUCGGGAAACUGGAGUUCCUACCAGAUAAUAUAUUUAACCGCAUGGUUCGAUAGUGACAGUCGGUAGUGCUGUCACUUAUAGACGCAUCCUCGCCGCUUUAGAUAGAUGUUAUGGUUACGGCCUACCAAGGCAGCUAUGCGUAGCCGACCUGAGAGAGUGGUCGGCCACACUGGAGCUGGGACACGGUCCAGACUACUACGGGAGGCAGCAGUAGCGAAUCGUCCGCAAUGGGCGAGAGCCUGACGGAGCAACGGCGCGUGAGUGAUGAAGGUCUUCGGAUCGUAAAGCCCUGUUAUUAGGUAAGAACAAAUGUGUAAGUAACUAUGCACGUCUUGACGGUAGCUAAACAGAAAGCCACGGCUAACUACGUG